rnacentral:lncRNA from 1 species
CAGUGACAAGUAUGACCCCGCAGGGAUGUAGCAGGUCGUGUGUUUCGACGUUCCCAUCCAAUGGGUAAGCCGGCACAUCUUAACCCCUGGUUUACGGUUGUCCGACACAAAUCCCCGGAGUGUUGUAAUAAGACGUGGCUUCUGCCAGUCAUCAUCAAAUCGCUGCUUCAAUGUUUCCAUGACAGAUCUAACAUUGAUCGGGUUCGACGAAAUGAAAUUGACCUUCCCCAGACUUCAUCCGUGUCCGGGUGCAGCUCUGGGAAGUGCCCUAAGCACCUGAGACCCCUUAGGGUCAUGGCACCCCAGUUGGUGGCAGUACAAUCAGAACGCACUGCAAGGCGUAUCUCCUCACGCAAAACAUUGUGAAAAAACACAGUCCCCUUCGCGAGGAUAACCUUGUUCCAAAAACGGUACUUAAGUGAGGCCCAGUGAAGGUGGAGGGGCCAUUGACCAAGCCCCCUAAACAACACACGAUUAGCCGGUAUCCUUC